rnacentral:rRNA from 1 species
AGAUUGAACGCUGGCGGCAGGCCUAACACAUGCAAGUCGAGCGGUAGAGAGGUGCUUGCAUCUCUUGAGAGCGGCGGACGGGUGAGUAAUGCCUAGGAAUCUGCCUAGUGGUGGGGGAUAACGUUCGGAAACGGACGCUAAUACCGCAUACGUCCUACGGGAGAAAGCGGGGGACCUUCGGGCCUCGCGCCAUUAGAUGAGCCUAGGUCGGAUUAGCUAGUUGGUGAGGUAAUGGCUCACCAAGGCGACGAUCCGUAACUGGUCUGAGAGGAUGAUCAGUCACACUGGAACUGAGACACGGUCCAGACUCCUACGGGAGGCAGCAGUGGGGAAUAUUGGACAAUGGGCGAAAGCCUGAUCCAGCCAUGCCGCGUGUGUGAAGAAGGUCUUCGGAUUGUAAAAGCAACUUUUAAGUUGGGAGGAAAGGUUGUAAACCUAAUAACGUUGACAACUUUUGAACGUUUACCGACAGAAAUAAGACAACCCGGCUUAAACGUUCGUUGACCCAGCAAGGCCGA